UAUCUUUGAAGCCAUGGAGCUGACAGAUAACUAAGACAGAAGUGGCUGAAAAAAAGAGCUCUAAGAAUGAAAUUCAGGAGACAUGACCAUAGUUAUGGAUUAGAAAAGAGGCUGAAGAGGUCAGGUGUGGUGGCUCAUGCCUGUAAUCCCAGCACUUUGGGAGGCCUAGGCAGGCGGGUCACCUGAGGUGAGGAGUUCAAGACCAGCCUGGCCAACAUGGUGAAACUCCAUCUCUACUAAAAAGAAAAAUACAAAAAUUAGCCGGGUAUGGUGGCGGGUGCCUGUAAUCCCAGCUACUAGGGAGGCAGAGGCAGGAGAAUCGCUUAAACCUGGGAAGCAGACAUUGCAGUGAGCCAAGAUCACACCACUAUACUCCAGCCUGGGCAACAAAGUGAGACUCUGCCUCAAAAGAAAAAAGAAAAGAGGCCAAAGAGAGGAAAGCAUCAGAACAUCAGGAAGAGACAUGUUAUUUUAGCAAAAAUAUUGAGAAAGAUGGAAAAGUUACUGUCAAACACUACUAAGAGAUAAAGGAUAACUAAGGAUGCCUUUGGAGGAGAUCACUAAGAAGUCAUUGAUGGGCCAGACAGGUGGCUCAUGCCUGUAAUCCAUCCCAGCACUUUGGGAGACCAAGGCUGGUGGAUCACCUGAGGUCAAGAGUUUGAGACCAGCCUGGCCAAUACGGUGAAACGUUGCCUCUACUAAAACUAUAAAAAUUAGCAGAGUGUGAUGGUGCCCGCCUAUAAUCCCAGCUGCUUGGGAGGCUGAGGCAGGAGAAUCACUUGAACCUGGGAGGCAGAGGUUGCAGUGAGCCAAGAUCAAGUUACCGCAUUCCAGCCUGGGCGACAGAGACAGACUGUGUCUCAAGAAAAAAAAAAAAAAAAAGUCAUUGAUGGCAUCAAGAAAGUUUCUCAAGUGCAGCUUAUCCUGAGGGUCUCUGCUAAAUGUUUGUCAUGAAUGCUGUGCUGUGCCACCCAGAUUUCUCCAUCAGGAUCCAAGGUGCUGUCCCCUCCGGGGAGGGUUGUAAGCUGACAGCUCCCAGCUGCUCUGCUGAGGAAAGCCAUCUUGCCCAAGGUCAUGCCCUGGUCCUGGGGCAGCCUGCAUUGAUGGCUAGUUGACUUUGGGGUAUAAAAGCCCAGUUUCUUCCCAAAAAGGGACAACUCAAAAGGGCCAUUCCAGGUGCAGUGCUCACCAUGGAGUCAGCUAGGGCUGAGUCACAACACAUUGUGACUGCACUGCCGCCAACCUCCCCUUCCCCACACAGCGUUGACGCCAAUGAGAAGAAAGGACCCCCAGGACACUUUAAGCAGCUAUGCCAAUCUCUGAGUUGGGGUCUGCUUCCCCAGGAACCCAGAGGCCACAAUGUAUUAGAAAAUUCAAUACAAAUAAAAAUGAUAACAUCAGGGAAGAGUUUUGGCACAAAGAGAUCAAUAUAGAAAUAGUAUUUAACAGGCCGGGUGCAGUGGCUCACACUUGUAAUCCCAGCACUUUGGGAGGCCAAGGCACGUGGAUCACUUGAGUUCAGGAGUUCAAGACCAGCCUGGCCAACAUGGUGAAACCCCCAUCUCUACCAAAUUACAAAAAUUAGCCAGGAGUGGUGGUACAUGCCUGUAAUCCUAGCUACUUGGGAGACUGAGGCACAAGGAUCACUUGAACCCAGGAGGCAAAGGUUACAGUGAGCUGAGAUCACCCACUGCACUCCAGCCUGUGCAACACAGCAACACCCUGAAAAAAAAAAAAAAA
ensembl:lncRNA